GAAAUGCGAUAAGUAAUGUGAAUUGCAGAAUUCCGUGAAUCAUCGAAUCUUUGAACGCACAUUGCGCCCGCUAGUAUUCUGGCGGGCAUGCCUGUUCGAGCGUCAUUUCAACCCUCAAGCCCCCGGGCUUGGUGUUGGGGUUCGGCCCGCCCCUAGCGGCGCGCCGUCCCCGAAAUCUAGUGGCGGUCUCGCGAUAGCCUCCUCUGCGUAGUAGCAAUAUCUCGCACUGGGACUGAGCAAGGCCACGCCGUUAAACCCCCCACUUCUGAAGGUUGACCUCGGAUCAGGUAGGAAUACCCGCUGAACUUAA
rnacentral:misc_RNA from 1 species